UCCUACGGGGGGCAGCAGUAGGGAAUUUUCGUCAAUGGGCGCAAGCCUGAACGAGCAAUGCCGAGUGAACGAGGAAGGUCUUCGGAUCGUAAAGUUCUGUUGAAGGGGAAAAAGAGCGGAGAGAGGAAAUGGUCUCCGAUUGAUAUUACCCUUCGAGGAAGUCACGGCUAACUACGUGCCAGCAGCCGCGGUAAUACGUAGGUGGCGAGCGUUAUCCGGAAUGAUUGGGCGUAAAGGGUGCGUAGGCGGCCUGCUAAGUCUGGCGUGAAAGGUACCGGCUCAACCGGUACAGGCUCUGGAAACUU
rnacentral:rRNA from 1 species